rnacentral:tRNA from 1 species
UGGGUUGUGGCUCAGUGGUAGAGCCCUUGCCUAUCAUGCAUGAGGCACUGGGUUCGAUCCUCAACACCACAU